rnacentral:tRNA from 1 species
UGGGAUGAAGCUCAAUGGUACAGCACUUGCCUAGCAUGCAUGGGGCCCUGGGUCUGAUCCCCAGCACCCAC